AAUGGCACGCAUAAAAGAAGAUCCAUCUUUGAAGCAUAUUUUAGAUGAGAUAGAGACUGGUGGUUCUGCUGCUAUGAUGAGAUAUUGGAAUGAUGAGGACGUUUUGCGGAAGUUGGGACGGGCCAUGGUGCCAUCAUUUGUAGUCUGGUUAUUCUUUCUUUUUGGCCGCAAAUAAGUCAAGAAAUAAUGAAUGGUACCACUAUAUUGGGCAAGGAGUCCUUUAUAAGAAUUUGCACGAGUUGUAGAAAAAAUAGAUAUGGUAGUGCUUACUACUUCAAGGGAGCAUCUUCUGUCUGCUGAAAGCAAGGGUUUGCUAUGCAGAGAUAUAAGUCCAGCUGGAUUUCGUUUCUAUAUUAACCUGACUUUAGAGAUUGCUAAGCAAGUAAAAAGACGUGCUGAGGUUGCAAGGUAAGCUUUCACUUUAGUUCACUACACUUGUAUUAUAUAACGUUGAUUAAUGAUUGAAUAAAGGAUAAAUUUAAGAUGCCAAGAUUGGGUUCUACUUAGUUUUUUUUAACACAUUAGUUGUAUAGUUG